GGAGAUGUCGCAUAGUGGCCGAGUGCGCUCGCUUGGAAAGCGAGUAGGGUGCAAGCCCUCGAGAGUUCGAAUCUCUCCAUCUCCG
rnacentral:tRNA from 1 species